CACAGCAGUCCUCAAAAGCUAAACCAACAAGUUGCGAGCGGAUGUUCAAGCUAAUUUCUUUAUCGAGACAUAUUUGCUUGUUGCUUCAAGAGAGAAGAGUUCCCUUAUUAGUAGGAAGAUCAUAUGUCUCUGAUAGAUUGCAACGUUUUUAUUUUUCGUAUCUCUCACUUGGGUUUCUGCCCAAUAACCUCUUGCAAUCGCAUUUUUUUUUUUAUGUUUGAAAAUUUCUUCCCUUUUUCUUUUCUUUGAUUUUGGCGGGUUUCUUUGAUAUCUUACAGCGGCCGAUUUGUGUCGUCUGCUCUCGUUAUGUUUCACAGUUUCGAAAAAGCAAAAAGAGACGAAGGUUCAGUCAGAUACUUUUUAUUAUAGAAAACUGAACGGAUUGGAAACGUGUAGGCAACAUGGCUGCAACUUGCAACAGAUAUAGAAGAACAAAAUAAAAUUUGAUCGUCGUGUGAACUUUGUUGUAUAGUGAUUUCUCAUGCUCUCCAUUCCAUCAGGUCAGGUACUAAAUGAAACUAAGAAUACAAAUGGAAUGAUAUCAGGAGCUUAUACAAACGAGCAGGAGCCUGUUCCAAAUUUGUGAAAUGUUGGUGCCCGAGCCCGACUACAGUGACUAGCAUUUAUCAUAUUUCAGGCCUGGAGCCAGCCAUCGUAACCACAAGAUGUACAAGUUUUGAUACUGACCCGUCAUCAUCCAACAAUCUCAACAUCAUCAAUUGGAUUUGAGACCUGAGCCUGAGCCAGCCAUCAUAACAGCAAAGUGUUGCUUGUGCUGGAUCUCCUGUCAUAGUGUCAUCAACAGCAAAAUAAUCAUAGGAUAACCGUUUAG